UACGAAGGGUGCAAGCGUUACUCGGAAUUACUGGGCGUAAAGCGUGCGUAGGUGGUUUGUUAAGUCUGCUGUGAAAGCCCCGGGCUCAACCUGGGAAUGGCAGUGGAUACUGGCAAGCUAGAGUGCGGUAGAGGGUAGUGGAAUUCCCGGUGUAGCGGUGAAAUGCGUAGAGAUGUGGAGGAACACCGAUGGCGAAGGCAGCCUCCUGGGCCAGCACUGACGCUCAUGCACGAAAGCGUGGGGAGCAAACAGG
rnacentral:rRNA from 1 species